CUGUAUUAUUUUAUUUCUCAGAAAAGUAUUAGGGCCUAAACGACAAUGUUGAGAUCUGACAAAGCUGGGCGGUGACUGCUUUUCCGUAUGCUUGAGGUGUUUCAGAAGUUUAAACUCGUGUUUAUUGCUUGUUUUGUGUGUUCCCGCUCCUCUUUCCUUGUCUCUUACAGGUGAAGUGUUGGGACGUAAAACAUGUUUAUCACUUCUGCUUGGAUGCGCGUUUUUCAGAGCAGCAGUUUCUUCCUGCUAUGAAGGCUCUGUAAAAGGUUUGGGGUUGAAGGAUUUCAGUUCCGAGUGCUAGAACUUGUUUUCCGCUGGGCGCGGAGGAGAGGUCAUGAAGUGCGCGCUGCGGCCGGGGUUGAGUUAAUCAUCGACUGCGGCUGCCCCUGGGCUGCGUGCCCUCCGCGAGCCUUUGUGCGGCAGACGUCCUGCCGCCCUGGGCACAGCAGAGGGAGAGGGGCCGCGGGCCGCCGGGUGGCCGAGCCCCCAGGCCGGGUCCACAGCACCGCUGCCUCCCUCACCCAGCUGAUUCCCUCCCUUUCCGCCGCUUGCUCCAGCCAGUCCGCAGGAGGACGAGACCCACAGAGGGAAUCAGGCCUGGCGGAGUUACUCCUGACCUCCUGUGGGAGGUUCAGGGAGGCCAAGGAGGUGUGCGACCUUCCGGUUAAAGUGUGACUUGACAACAGGGCCAAGUGAGGCAUCAAGUUCAUGGAUGAGAUCAGUGUCAACGGGGACAAGACCACGGGUGUGUGCAGCCGUCACCCACCAAUCAGGCCUGUGCACAUCAGCGGGCCUGUGCACAUCAGCGGGCCUGUGCACAUCAGCGGACACCAACUGGCCCCUGGCAGCUGUCACCGCAUAAAGAGACCAGAGCAAAUUACAACUCCAGCAGCAUCCAAACCAAAGGAAGAAAUCGCCAGAUUAAAUAUAAACAAGUGCACAUAAAAAAAAAUGCAAAACAUUUCUCAUCCAAGUAUGUGCAGUGGGUUCUUAAUGUUAAUUUUGACUUUCAGACUUCUUUCCUCCCUCUCAUCUCACCUUUCUGCUCAAAGUGUGCAAAAAGUACCUGAUGCCCUUGUGCACAAAAGCAAACACAUUUGGGAGGAAAAAGCAGCCAGUGUGCAAAUCUUUUAAUUAAUUUUACAGCAUCAGUACUUGGGAGUUGAUGCUACUUGGAAAGCCCAGGUGUGAGGCAUCCAGAUGAUUAAGCGUUCUGCAGAUAUUUUUUUGCUGAUAAAGGGAGGCUCUGCAGGACGGAACAAUCAUGGACAGUAUAAGUGAUGAUGUCAUUUGGGUCAAUGUCCGAUUCAGGCGAUUAGAGAAAGUUCAACAAAUUAGGCUGAAUCACAAAUGGAGCCUUGGCUUUCAACCAAAGUUGUUCAAUAGGCUUUGCCAAAUGCAUGCUGGUAGAUUAAUUUGACCCACCCAUUCACACACUCUCUGGACGCCACAAAGUGUAAGGAAAAGAGCAAGGCCUGUGGAGUCAGAGAUGGGGGUUGGGUCUAAGUUUUCUGCUUAUGGUGUUUUCCCGAGUGAAAUAUUUGACUUCUCCAAGCUUAUUAAAAAAUGGGAAGAUUCCUAGCUCCCUGGCAAGGCUAUCUGAGGAUUAGUUGAGACAAGGUACAGGAAAGGGCCUUGAACACAAUAAAUGUUAAUCGCCCUAAUUAAAU
ensembl:lncRNA